UUAAUUUGGGGUCAGAGACUUAAUGACCAGUAUCUAAAAUGAGUUUUGUAAACGCAAACCGUGUUGUUGAUAUACAGACCCUUUUACAUAAGUAUUUUGAGUGCUGAGCUUUACGAUUAUUAAUCAGGGAAGCAUAUUCUUAUGGAACUAAACUUUGUUUAUUGAAUGCCAGGGAUAGAACUAAUGACAGGGGAAAUAAUUUGUUUCUAAUGCUUUUUAGCAUGAUCAAAGAGUAAAGUUAUAUCUAAUAGGGCCUGUUAGGGCUGAAGGUAUUCAUAAGUACUGAGUUUUAUUGUCUGAGGUAAUAGGCUUUGUGAAUGCAAAAGAAAAUUCAUCUUAGUUCUUUAUAAUACAGAUGGAACCAGGCCUCAGGUAAUUUGUAGGCUGUUGGCAUUUUAAAUGAAGUGGCUUAACAUUUCAAUCAUUGAUUUGUGUAAACUAAGGAUAUUGAUGGCCUCGGAUAUUGAUCAGAUUGUUACCUGUUCCCUGUAGGAAACCCAAUAGAGAUGAAGCUGAUUCAAGUUCAGCAGGUUUUACAGUUACUUUCAAGAUGAACUCAGGAAAGAUGACAAUUUUAAUUGUAGAGCUUAACUGAGAAUAUAAGAUGGAAGAAACAGGCAUUAAGACGAUAGAAAUCAUCUCCAUUUUACAGAUGAGCAGACACUGAGAACUAGCACUACAGCCAACACUAAAAUCUAGCUUUCCUGGAUCCUGAUCCAUUUUCUUUCUGCCUCUACUCAAAAACAGUGGGCCAAAUGGAAGAUCACUAUUAUUUGGAGGCCCUCCACAGUGCCGUACAAAUUCCAGCCUUCCCUUCAGUCAGCACACUACUGUUGAUAAUGACGUGCAAGAACUUGUCAUAGUUAGAAAAGCUGUAUAUUACAUGAAGACAAGAGCUAGCUCUGAUUCUGCUCACCAUUGUAUCAUCAGCCACAGUAUCUGGUCCAUAGUACCCAUUCAGUAAGUGUCCAGUGGGUGACUGAAUACACAGAUGAAUUUGGGGAGAAUAAGGACCGACAGACAGCCCAAAAGCUGUUGCAUUGACUUUAGCAUAUCCUAGUUGCUAAGUGCUGAAACAAAGAGGUGACAGAAGUUCCUGGAAGUCUUUUUGGGUGGUGAGAAGUGAAUGGUUAAGAAGCCAAGGCUGGUUUCGAAUUUCGUUGGGACUACCUGUAAGGUCAGAUCUUAACAAACGGCACAACGAAACAGAGGAAAGCUUCAAGUGAGCUCUUAUUAGGGAGCGCUCCCGGGCGAGGUUCACUGGUCCGAGAGAAAGGGGGCCAGAGAAGUCGCGCCCGGGCGAGGGUUGGGCAAGAUUUUAUAGGGGAA